ensembl:lncRNA
CUAUUGUUAAUGAUAAAUAUAUAAAUUUUAUUUGGGAUACAGGUGUACCUGUUGAAAAUAUACCUUAUCAACAUUUUUCAAUCCGAUGGGAUGGGUAUUUAAAAAUACCACAAACAGAUAUGUAUACAAUAUCAGUAGAACAUGAUUGUGGGGUUCGAAUUUAUUUAGAUAAUACUCCAAUUAUUAUACAUAAUAUGCCAAAUCCUAGAGAAGAAGAAUCAGAAGAAAUGAGACCAGUACAUGUAUUACCAAUUGAAAAAAUGAAUGCACAAGUACAUAAAUCUUUUUCAGAAGAAUUAUAUUUAAAAGGAGGUAAAAAAUAUAAAUUUCGAGUAGAAUAUUUUCAUUUAAGUACUGUUAAAUAUGAAAAUCCUGAUUUGGCUCAUAUUAUAUUAUUUUGGAAAUCCAAAAAAAUAAUAAAAGAAGAGAUAAUACAAGAUAGUUAUUUUUAUCAAGGUAAUGUAACUACACCUUUACAUAUAACUGAAUUGAAAGGAGAUGAAUAUGAGCUUAUGUUACUUGAAAAUGGGGAAUAUGCAUAUAUCAAUCAUUUUAAUUAUUUUGUUAAUGACAUUCCUAGUAUAUAUGAACGAUCAAAAGCAAUACGAACAAAAUAUGAUGAUAAAACUGAUAGUAGUACAAAUAAAAAUGGUAUAAUAACAUUUCGAAUAAAUACGUUUAGUAAAGUAUUUAUAGCCAUACCAAAAGAUGGAAAAAUGGUUCCAUUAAAUGAUAUAAAUAAAAAUAAUUUUAUAAAUACAAACGAAACAUUGUCUAUAUACAAAAUGGAUGAAAAUAAUAGUAAAGUAUCUGAACAAAAAAUAUAUAGUAUUUAUUAUUCUGAUUAUUUUGAUGGAGAUGUAAUAAUAAAAAAUGAAAAACCAGUUCCUUUUCUUAUUUUUGUUGUACAAAACGAAUUACAAUCUAUUAAUAAUUGUAAAGGAUAUGUACAAGUUGUAUCUCUUACGAAUUCACCAUAUUUUAAUUCGUGUUAUGCUUCUUCCUAUGUUUCAGACAAAUUUAACUGUAAUGCAGGAUUUAGUGGAUUUAAUGAUAAUAAAGAAUAUGGUACAUGGAAAGUAGCAGAAGGUAAAUCGUUAGGACAAUAUAUGACUAUAACUUUUAAAUACGAUAUAGAUAUAUAUUCAUUUACUUUUAAACCGUUAAUAACAGAUUCAGAUUUAACUGAAACAAGUAGCAUAACAGAAUUAUCCUUAUAUUUUGACAACAUAAAACAACCUCAGAUUUUUACUAUUUCUCCUGGACAUCACCAUUAUAAAUUAAACAUGCCAAUUAAAACAAAAAAUAUUAAAAUAGUUAUAUCCAAAGUAAAUGAUGCAAAAAAAAAUGAUGCAAAAAAAAAUGACACAAAAAAAGAAGAAGUAGGUGGUAAUAUAAAUUUUUAUGGUAUUCCAUGUACUUAUGGCAAAGAAGAGGAAACAGAUUUAGAAAAAAAAAAUGAACAUGAAAUUAAUAUAUAUUUUAAAAGUAAAAAUAUUCAUAUAUCAUCUAAACCAUUAAGUUGGAUCGUAGAUAAUGGAUUAUUGAAACAAAAACAAGGUAUUCUAAAUUAUGGUUGGAAAAAGUUACCUACUCCUAUCGAAUGGCCACAAUUAGAUAAAAAAGAUAUAGAUCAUACAGGUAUUUCUUUUUUCCCAAAUGACUGUAUAGACAAUGUUAAUAAUGAUAGUAUAUCAUGUGAUACAACUAAUACUUGGUCUAUCGAUUUAUUACAUGAAGGUACAUAUUAUGUAGCAAUCGAAAUAGGUUCACCCACUGGAAAUCAAGAAAUCAACUCUAUUCAAUUGAAUGGAGAAAUGUUUAUAAAUAAUAUGUUUUUAAAACCAAAACAAUAUACCAAAGUUACUUCUAAUGUUUUUAUAUCCAAAAAUAAAACAUUAGAAAUAACUACAAAUACAAAAACGGUUAUACAAUCAAUACAAAUUAUAUUUCUUCAUAACUGAAUGGUGGAUAUGGUGUAGGUAUUAUCUACGUUCCCUUUUUUAUUCCUUUGCAGUGUUAUUUGUGACUGUUUACCAUUUUUAAGCUGGUGGGGUUGUGUGUUGGUUCGACUUACAAACGUUGGAUGUGAUUAUGGUGUACGUAUAUACUCAUAUAUAUGUACAUGUUUAUAUGUACAUGUUUAUAUGUAUAUGUUUAUAUGUACAUGUUUAUAUGUAUAUGUUNNNNNNNNNNUAUGUAUAUGUUUAUAUGUAUAUGUUUAUAUGUAUAUGUUUAUAUGUUCACGCAUGAGAGAACGCGUGCCUCUUUAGCUUCUAAAAUUAUAUAACACAUACGACAUUUUAUUCUUUCAUUUGAGUUAUAUAAACAUAAUUUCAUAACGUGUGUG